GCCUUGGCGAUUACAGGCGAUGAAGGACGUGAUAAUCUGCGAAAAGCUUCGGGGAGCUGAUAAAUAAGCUUUGAUCCGGAGAUGUCCGAAUGGGGAAACCCACCCGCAAGGGUAACCGCUCCUGAAUAUAUAGGGAGAUGGUGGCAAACCGAGUGAACUGAAACAUCUAAGUAGCUCGAGGAAAAUAAAUCAACCGAGAUUCCGUAAGUAGUGGCGAGCGAACGCGGAACAGCCUGUUAUUUUUAGCACAUGCGAUAGUAGAACGGAAUGGAAAGUCCGGCCAUAGAGGGUGAUAGCCCCUUAUACGAAAUCCCGUGUGUGGAACUAGGAUAACGACAAGUAGGGCGGGGCACGAGAAACCUUGUCUGAACAUGGGGGGACCAUCCUCCAAGGCU
rnacentral:rRNA from 1 species